CGCCUGCUCUUGCUCUCAGCUGGUCACUGCCCCCAUGUUCAGAGCCAAUUUUCUGAAAUGUUCUGAGUACAAAAACAUCCCCUCUGAUCUCACCUCAUUAUUCUAUGCUUCUUCUCCCUGUGUCUUGGUUGUUUUUGACAGAAAAGGGAAAUUCAUGACGAGCAUGUGGAGCCCUUGGUGGCCCAGUGCAGGCCUGGGGAGCUGCCGGGUUGAGGCGCUCUUGUUUCUCUCUGGAACCUCUCGGUCGCUACCUCUGCCCCUCACCUCUGUCUCUGGGUCUUUGCCACCUGCCUCCUCCUUUCCUCCCCCAUGGACCUGCUUUCCCUCUCACUUGCUGAAGAUGAGGCCCCACCACUCUUGCUUUGAUGAAAUCAUCCACUUAUGUGUUUAAUCUUAUAGUAUUAUAUGCAUUCUUUUACAUGAUUUCAAAAUCUUUUGGCAGCAAAAUAUGCAUAAAUGACUGCUUAUAGAUGAAUGCACGUGCAUGUGUGUGUUUGGGGAGGGGAUGGCGCUGGCUCUGCCUGGAGAAGUCCCCCCUCCCCAGUACGGAUGGAAGAUUCCCUGGAGAAGAAGCUUGAGGUGACAGAAGUCUUGCAUUACAGGGGAGGUCCCUUGCUGCUGCUGCCCCGAUAGACC
rnacentral:lncRNA from 1 species